UACGUAGGGGGCUAGCGUUGUCCGGAAUCAUUGGGCGUAAAGCGCGUGUAGGCGGCCCGGUAAGUCCGCUGUAAAAGUCAAAGGCUCAACCUUUGAAUGUCAGUGGAUACUGCCGGGCUAGAGUCCGGAAGAGGCGAGUGGAAUUCCUGGUGUAGCGGUGGAAUGCGCAGAUAUCAGGAGGAACACCGAUGGCGAAGGCAGCUCGCUGGGACGGUACUGACGCUGAGGCGCGAAAGCGUGGGGAGCGAACAGG
rnacentral:rRNA from 1 species